rnacentral:rRNA from 1 species
CGUCAAAUCAUCAUGCCCCUUAUGUCCUGGGCUACACACGUGCUACAAUGGCCUGUACAAAGGGCAGCGACCCUGUGAAGGGAAGCAAAUCCCGGAAAGCAGGUCUAAGUUCGGAUUGCAGGCUGCAACUCGCCUGCAUGAAGUCGGAAUCGCUAGUAAUCGCAGGCCAGCAUACUGCGGUGAAUACGUUCCCGGGCCUU